UUUGUAUUUAUGCCAGGGUCCUCCUCUUCAAACACAAUUUAAUUUCUUCUGUUUAAGGGUCAGGUUACUUUGGUGCGACCUCAACAUUUAUGGGUUUAAGAUAUAGCAACAGCCUCAAGAGGAAUUAUCUAAUAUAUGCCAAAUUUAGAAGCAAUUUAACAAAAUGUGUUGAUUUCUAAGCUUGAAGAAUGCGAUAUAUAGUUGUUCUUUAAAAUUUGAAUCUGUACUUUUUAUUUACAAUAUUGACAUGAUGUCUUUUGUAAAAAGUGAGACAUCAUGGCGCAAUUGCCCUUCUUUCUUCAAGAUGGAUGGCAAGGUUGUAAAGCUAACAUAGGAGCAGUGAUUUUUCUCCUCAAACUCGUCUCUAGAACCUCGUUUUCUCUCUAGUUUUCUAGUACUAAUGUCAUUGUUUGUGAAAGAAAGGUUUAUGUGGUUGGACUAUUGACCAGUGGCUGUUAGUUGACUUAGUUCCCUUUUCCAGCUUUUAGCAACAAUGACAUAUCUCACAAUUUGGAAUAGCAGUUUAAGAUCUCAUUUGCAUAAUAAGAUAUUAAGUCUCUUUUCUAUUUUGAAAAGCUGAUUUUGGCAUUAAAAAUCAGCACAGUUUUGUCUCUAGUCAUGCCCAUGAUACAAAUGCAGGAGGGCACCUUGGGUAAGGAGUGUUGUAACAUUUUUUAACAGCAUACUAUGUCGCGUUUGGAAUAGUGAUAUUUUAUAACUCAUUUUCUGAAUGAGAUUUAAUUCUCAUUUUUCUAAAUUAUACGGAGUACCUCUUAAAAUAAACACAUUUCAGUCUCAAAUCAUUAUUAGACUCCCAUGAUACCAAUGCAUGAGAGCUCAUUAGGUAAAGAGUGAUGUCACAUUUAUUAGUAGCAAUUUUGUAUUUCAUUUAGCAGUAGCAAUAUUAUAUUGCAAUUUGGAAUAGUGAUUUUAGAACUCGUUCCUUGAAUGAGAAUUUAAGUGGUGCGUACAAUGAAUUGCUCUAAAUUGGUAGUACCAUGUUCUUUGUCGGAGGUUCAAUAUUUCAGUUGAGGACAAAGAAUAAUGACAAGGCAUCACAAGGAUCGGUUUGUUGUUGAUGCAUUACAAGAGAUGUAAAAAAUGUCAAGUUGAUUACCAAAGCUUUGAAGCAACGAGAGAACAGCAUGCUAUCUGAAAUUGAUUAUUUUUUUUUGGGUUUUUCCCAAAGGUAUCCCUCCAGACAACCAGAAGACUAAUCCUCCGUCCCAACGGUCAGCACAUUAAGUGGUAGGGAGCUGGCCAAAUGGUUUGCUCCAUUCACAUGGGUGGGGAUCGAACUCCCAACCUCAUGCUUAAGGGACGAGGUGCUGAACCACCACGCCAACCAUGUUGGUUGAAAAUGAUUCUUAUAAUGGUCUUCCUACAGAUUAAUAAAUGCCAAUUUUAUUUUAGUCUUAUUUUGAUGGCUGCCAUGUUUUAAUUGGUAGUUUCUUUUUGAGUUCAUUACCUACUACAUGAGGGUAAUUAGUAUCAUAAGAAGUUAUUAAGUGGUCAUUAAGAAAGGGACUGAAGAGCAGAGUGCUACUUUUGCAGUGAAUGUUUGAGAACAUGUAAUAGCUUGAAGCUUGAUUAAAACAUCUUUGAAGCUCCUAGAUAUUUAAGAGUGUUUUCGUGAAAUUUCUUUACAAAAAGUAGACUACUUCUUUUAUUACAAUAUCACCACCCUUGGCAGGUCUUGUGUUUUUGUCAAGGUUUUCAACCUUCAUUUAAAGGCUUUGGGUCUGGGCAGGUCAAACAUAUUUUGGGCUUUUGUUGUGGAUCUUGCAUGGGUUUGUGUCGUUAAGUCUCAUCUUUCUAAUUUGACAAACCUACUUAAUCAACACAUUUUGGUCUCAAACCAUGAGAUUUACCAUUAUAGCUAUGCAGGAGGUAAGAAAUCACGUCAAAUUUGCUACAAGCUACUGCUAUUGUUUGCAACAGCAAAGUGGUUUUCAAUUUCAUUCCCUAAAUAUGAUUUUUGGUCAAAAAGCUUUUUUCCAGUAUCUGUUUUACAUAAACGCAUUUUGCUAAAUUGUUCAAAUUUGGCACCUUUUACAAAA